UACGUAGGGUCCGAGCGUUGUCCGGAAUCACUGGGCGUAAAGCGCACGUAGGCGGCUUUCUAAGUCAGGGGUGAAAUCCUGGAGCUCAACUACAGAACUGCCUUUGAUACUGGAGAGCUUGAGUCCGGAAGAGGUGAGUGGAACUCCGAGUGUAGAGGUGAAAUUCGUAGAUAUUCGGAAGAACACCAGUGGCGAAGGCGGCUCACUGGUCCGGUACUGACGCUGAGGUGCGAAAGCGUGGGGAGCAAACAGG
rnacentral:rRNA from 1 species